AGCAACUUGGAGGAAUGUAUGGGGAAAACUGGUAAAAUGUGAUGUACCUGGUAGUAUUAGCAAUUAAUAUGAUAUUAACUAAGUUAAUUAAAAUUCUAUGUAGAUAUUGAUUAUGACAAUAUAUACUUAUUUCUUGACCAAGUCACGUGCCAGCAGUCGCGGCAAUACGUGGUAGAUUAGUGUUAUUCAUCUUUAAUAGGUUUAAAGGGUACCUAGACGGUUAAUUAGACAUAUAAGUGUACUAAAAUUGACUAGAGUUUAAUGUAAGAAGGAUUGAGUACGGUGAGUGUAGAGAUAAAAUUCUGUCAUACCACUUAAGGAACUGGUAAAGGCGAAGGCAACCUUUUAUGUAAAAACUGACGUUAAGGGACGAAGGCUCGAAUUAAGUAACAGGAUUAGAUACCCUAGUAUUGUGGGCAGACAAUGAUGAGUGUCAUAUGCAAGAAUAUUUUUGUGUAUAAAUGAAAGUGUAAGCACUCCACCUCAAGAGUAACGUGGCAACAUGGGAACUGAAAUCAUUAGACCGUUUCUGAAACUCGUAGUGAAGUAUGUUGUUUAAUUUGAUGGUCCACAAAGAACCUUACCACAAUUUGUAUAACUUGAACAUAAAUUAUAGAUUAUUUAAACUAUAAUUCAAGUAACAAGCGUUGCACGGCUGUCUUCAGUUAAUGUUGUGAAACUUUGGUUAGAUCCAUUUAAUUGACGUAAACCCUUGCUUUAUUUAUUAUAAAGCAGUUCGCCGCUAUAUUGGUAGUGAUAUAAGGGACUAGGACAAGUCAUC
rnacentral:rRNA from 1 species